rnacentral:ncRNA from 10 species
AUCGUUCAAUCUACAUUGUAGAUCGGAAGUAAGUUUAAAACUGAAGGAACGCGCA